UGUAAGUCAAAGUUUUCAUAGUUUGACUCUAAAAAUAAAUACUAGACAAACAAUAUCGGACGAAGAGAGUAGUUAGUACUUUCAACGCUAAAUGAGAAUGUGGUGCUACUUACGGUGUAGAAAAUAGAUAAGGAAAAUACUAUCUUUAGAGAAUACUCAAGUUUUAUAUAGGCCACUUAAGACCACUUGAGAUUAUUACAAUCAUCAACUAUAUCACUAUUUAUACGACUCAAAAUAAAAAAAAUAAAAAGUAUUGCACAAUUAACUAUAUACAUGUAUCAAAAAUUACUAAAUGCAUGUAUUACAAAAUUCUAAAGAAUUUCUUGAGAAAUUAAGAGACAAUAUUGAAAUACUAAACAUCAAGGUGUGAAGUGAAUGCAUUAAUUCCAACACUCCCCCUUAAUAUAUUUUUUCUUGAAAAUUUCAAUGCCUUCUCGAAGAUGGCAAAACUUUUCGCUUGGAAGUGUUGUGGUGAAGAUGUCAGUACAUGAGUAUAACAAAUACAUCCAAAUAAUUUAAAAUGAUUUACAUAAGGUUUUAUUCCAACCCAAGCUUCAAUUGGUGCCUUGUCCUUUAGUGCCUUUGUUGGGCAUAUGUUAAAAAUGUACGCUGAUGUAUGCACUGCUUCUGCCCAAAAAUAUUUUGACAACCCUUUCUCAUUUAUCGUAGUUCGGGCCAUUUUAACAGUUGUUCUGAAUGCCUUCAUUUUUGCAAUAUUCUUCAAAUUCUCGACUUGUGUAUUCACCUCCUCUAUCACUGCAAAUGGUUUUGUGUUGCAACAUUUUUGCUUCUCAACAAGUGUUUUAAAUUUCUUGAAUGUAGCAAAUGCUUCUGACUUUUCUUUUAAGAAAUAAACCCAAGUCAUUCUUGAAAAAUUAUCAAUAAAGAUUAGAAAAUACCUUGACUUUCAAGAGAUGGAAUCUUCUUUGGUUCGCAAAUGUCGGUAUGGAUUAGUUUCAAAAGUACAUUUGCUCUCUAAGACACCCUUUUGAAAAAGUCUUCUCAUGUUGCUUUCCUAUUAUAUAACUUUCACGUUGAUCCACCUUAGUAUGUAUCACAGGAAGGCAUUGCACAAUAUAGCUUUUUGCUUAAGAAAUUUCAAACCAAAAAAAUUCAAGUGACAAAUUUUUUGUGUCAAAGCCAUGAAUCAUCUACAAUUUCAUUUUUUUAAUGCAUUGUAAUGAAAUUGCAAAGGAAAAUUUCUUUUUAUCAUCUUUACUUCAACAAUGACUUGAUUUGGCUUAAUUUUAUCAUAAAUCCUGCAAUAAUUAUCUCUAAGCAUAAGAGAAUAACCAUUUUCCAUGAGUUAACCAACAUUAAGCAAUUUUUCUUGCAUGUCAGGAAUAUAAAGAACAUCAUGAAUUUGCUUAGUGUUUUUUUCAUGUUGAUCGAAAUGAUACAUUUACCUUUUGCAUCAACUAAGCUUCCAUUUUCCAUUGCCACUUAAGUAGUGAUGUUAUUAUUAAUUGAGAGGAAAGUUUUUUCAUCUCCAGUCAUGUGAAUACUACAAUCACUAUCAAUAUGGCAUUCAUAGCUUUUUGUUGAAACAUGAGAUUUAGAAGCAAAGAAAAGGUUUUCUUCCCUUUCUUCCUCCUGUUUUUCACAAAAAUUCGCUUGCUCCCGUCAAGGGCGGAGCCACCUUGGUACAAAGGGGUUCAUCCGGACCCCUUCGAUGAAAAAUUAUACUAUUUAUACAUGAUUAAAAUAAUACUUUAUGAAUGUAUAGUAGAUGUCGAACCCCCUUCAACUACUCCGUAUAUCUAUUUCUACGAAUUUUGAACCCCCUUAUUGAAAAUUCUGGCUCCGCCACUGACUCCCGUUUCUUGUGGUAGCAAUCCUUUUCAAUGUGGGCAAAUUUUUACAAAAGUUAUAUUUGGACUUGCAUUUGCGUCAACAUUUUUCUGCCAGUAUGAUUAGUUAUUUUGCAAACUUUAUAAAAAAAAAA